AACAUAUGAGCACUCACCUAUACUGUGGAAAGGGAUGUUGAAUGAUUCAAAAACUAUUCUGAACAAUUCCUUUGGACAUAAAUUAUCUCCUGAAGUUUUAUUUAUUUACAUCAUUUAUAUACCGCCUUCCUCCCCAAGGACACCCAAAGCGGUUUACAACAUAAUAUAUUCUGCAUUAUGCAGACUUGUCUCCACCAGCCUUGCCUUUCAGGGGUCUUCCCAAAGGGUCUGCUCUUAGCUAUGGUAUCCUUUGCCAUAGAGUGCAGAUGUGUAUGCACAGGGGCAUGCAGUGUGUGGACCAGAAACCAAUAGCUGGUUUAAGGAGCUGAUGUGCAAAAAGGAAGCUACUAGCUGAGAAGGGAGAAGAUGCUUUUCUGCAUACACACACACACACACAUAUAUAUACACACAUAUACAUAUACAUACAUACACAUACAAGGUGUUUUAAAAAGAACUCCCUAUUCGCCAUUUAAAUUAAAUGGUGAAUAGGGAGUACUUUUUCAAACACCCUGUAUAUAAUUUCAUAAGCAUUUUGAGCUUGAUAACAAAAGGUGGGAUAGCCGAUUAUUAUCUGUAUAGUUUAAGACAAUUUUAUAACAGUCUGUAGUCUGUGGUGUGAAGACAUGGAAUUCCCUUGGUUAAUUAAGUGCAACAUCACAUAAUGGUUAGCUAUGUGUAACAUCAAAACAAUGCAAGUAGUCUGAUAAGCUUAAUGUUGUUCAACUUACCAAUUUUAAUAACAUUUUAUUUUCUGUUAAGUGCUAAAUGUUUAGAGACUUCUUUGUUUUGUUUUUUUGCUGAACAUUUGGAGAGAUACAUUUUUCCUCACACAUCUAUAAAUAGAAAGGAAUUAAUAUUUCCUUUUAAAAUGUAUUUAUAAAAACUGAUAAUUAAGUGGGUGGAUCUAGAUUAUUUUUCAAGAUGUCUCUUCCUGAUUACUAUAGCAUUACUCACUACUAUGUAAGUUAGCCAUUAGGGAUUUUUAAAAAAAAUACUUAAUUUCAGGAAGUGACAUAAUUCUCCCUUCCUUCUGGUCAUUAAUAUGAUACAGUUAUAGGCCACAAUUUUUCUUGAAAUUAACUAUUCCUGGCAUUAGUUGUCUCUUCCCUAGGCAAGACCUAUAUCUAGAAUUAAGUUUUUCCCCUUCAUGAAAAGAUAAUGGAAAGUGGAUACCAAAGGCCAACUGUACUUUUUGAACUUAUUUAGUCAAAAAAUCAACCCCCAAAUCCUUGGCCAACCAAUCCACAAGGCAAUUACGAGUACUGUACCUUAACUCUUAUAUUUAAAAAAGGAACCACUCCCUGCUAUACAAUGUAGAAGCACCAACGCUCUCUGCCACAGUGCUGCUUCUGACUUUUAUGAAUACCUGGGCAAGACAACAGAGGCACCAGCAGCUCUUUAGCACUUCCCCUCAAAGGUGCACCACUUUUUGAUAAGAGUUAAUACUAUACGAUAACUUUUAUCAAGAAAGGAAUCAUCCACUUCUCUUAAGUAGAGAGGUGAAAGGCCUUUUUGAAUGCCUGGGUAGGGAAAUGGCUGUGGCAACCAGAAGCUGUCCCCUCUUAGAUAAAUGAUCCAUGACUUAUCCACGUAUCAUAUCUAAAUCCAUAAUUGUUUCCCCAAAACCUUCCAUUAAUACUCAUACACAAUGUCAGAUUAUAUAUAAGUACCGUAUAUGGGUUUUUUUUUUCAAAUUGUGAUUUGCAGAGGCCUUGAGGAAUACAUUUGGUUUUGUAAAUGUAACUUCCUCUGUGCUUCCUGUUUGUUUUUUGGUCCAAAGAGAAGACAAGUCAUGUUUUCCAGAAUGCAUUGCUACUUUAGAAUUUGCCAUUAAUCUUCCCUGCGUCACCUUGAGGAGAUAGGACAGAAUACAAAUAAAGUUAUCAUUAUUAUUAUUAUUAUUAUUGGCACAACAACAUUGUAUGACACAGCAAACAAGAUAGAUAUGCUGGAUUUCAUAUCACAAAAUCACAAGUUGAACACUUCCCAAGUGUCUAGGACUGUGUGAUGUAUUUUCAGAUGAUGCGCGCAGAUCCCAGUAGGGUGGCCUUUUGCAGUUGGCAGAUCGUGAUUUUGUCAAUGCCUAUUGUUUCCAAAUGCCGGCUGAGAUCUUUUGGCACAUUAUUAUUAUAUUUGGGGGAGGGCUAAGAGAGGGAAAGGGGGCACUGUGGGACCUUAAGAUUCCACCCCCAGUGUCUAAUUUGGGGAUUUGGAUAUUCCAUAUAGACAACACACAAGUAUAGAGCUCACAGAUGAAAAAAGAGAAGCGGAACACACUAAGCAAACAGCAUGAAUGAAAAUCAAGAUGAAAUCUAAAUAUCAUGAAGGUAUAAUGAUAUAUGAUCAUGCAAGUUAAUCUCAAUCAGCCCUGGUUAAUAUGUGGGUGGGAGGCCAAGACGUAAUGGCAGGUGCUGUAAGAUAAUUUUUAAAGGAAGACAAUGUUAAAUCACUUUGAAUGUCAUGGGAUUUCUCUUAAUUGGCAAGUCACUUGCAGGCACAUAGACACACAGUGGUAUGAUGGGGGAAGGGGGACACUAGCCACAGUUCUCAUGGAACCUAGCUGGGGUUUUCACUUUAAAUUUUAGUCUGCUGCUUUUAUAUUUAUUUAGACAUAGAUGCUUUUCAUUCUUUCAUUAAACGUUCUGAUUAGAUUACAGAACGUGUAAUACUGAAGUAACUAGAUUAAUAUUAAGAUACACGUGGAACCUGAAAUAUAGCCCCUACUCUAUAAUAUGACCCCUUCACCACUUCUUCCAAAUAAGAGGCAUACAAUCCUUUCAAAUGAUGCUUACUUUCAGAUUCGGUAUGCUUCUCUUGUGAAAGAUAUUUAGCACCUAGUAAUAAAGACCACUUCGGCAAGCCAUGUUGUCUACACUCAUAUGUGUAGCAAUAGUGGGGCUGGCUCUAUAUCACUAUGUUACACAAUUUUUGUUCCUGGGUUAUAAAUGUCAUUUUCUAAUUGAUUCUAUCAUUAAAACAUGGAAAAAGUUUAUUAAACUGCAAAAGCUUUGUUUUUGUGGGACAUCCUACAGCACAUUUUGCAAUAGUUUUUCACUGAAGAUCUCAUUGAGUCUCAACCACUUCAACAUAGUUUGUGGCAGCCACAAAAAUGAAGUUUAAGGAGUAUAACAAUUACUUUUAAUGUAAGGACCACACAAUUAAACAGGAAAUAAUACUUUCAAACCAGAAACAGAUUUUUUUAUUUAACUGUUUGUGAUUUCAUGAUAUAUGGAGAGAAGAAGCAGAAAACAUUAGAGGGGGUUGUCAAAAGCAAUAGAGAUCUCAGAAUGAAAGAUUUUUUAAGUAGCCUUAUGUAUUCAUUGAUGAAUUUACAUAAUUUAAUUGAUUUCAUCAGACUGGUAUUUGCACUAACAGCAUAUCCUAUUAUGGCAUUAUAUUGGUGGGGCUGGACUUCAUAGCUGAAAGGGAAUAACUUGGCUAUCAAACCUGGCCAGACUUUCUGGCCCCCUGAUAUUGAAGUAACUUACCAGGUAAUGGUUGAGAAUAGGUGUAUGAAGUGCUUAGGAAAAUGAAGUAUAACUUUCAUGAUAAAUAUGUCCUCUUGUAAAACAAGAAACACAUUCUAAAAUUAAUAUCCACGUUGCUUCGUCUUCAUAGUCAAAUAAUGCCCAAUUCUAACACAUUAGUUUAAACCUGACUUUUAAAAAGACAGGGAAUGAAGUUCAGUUCCCAUAAACCAGAAUGACUCCUCCAUCUCAUAACGCAUUAUGUGUGUAUGUUUUAUAGAGAGAAAUAUCUCAAGAUACUCAUGUUAGAUUUAGAUGGCUAGCUGUGUUUGUAAAAUCCAAAUGCAGUGGCAAGUGAUGGUCUUUAGUGUCCAUUGCUUGUAUAGAAAUGCAAGUUUGCAUUUCUGUUUCUGUGACUUCAAAGCCCACCUCUUUCAAAUCUCCUUACUCUUUGCUUGUUAUGAGUCAUCUCCAGGAGUUGCAAUUGCUUUUAUUGUGUAUGUGUUAUUCCCAAUUCCCGUUGCACUAUCAUUCCUAUUAUUGCCUCCUCCACUACUGAAAUUUACUUUGCAAACUCUUGGGGCUGGGCUCUACCCUUUUGCUUUAGUAAAGUUCUUUGUACAUUGAUAGCACAUAUAAAUUAAGUGAUGAAAUAUUAAGUUAUUAAUAUCUCUGUCCAGGACUCUUUGCCUUUUCAACCUAAAGAAUAAGACACAUCUAUAACAUAAUGUACCCACAAGAACCAUAUUGAAAUGCCUACAGAUCAUUGUGAUGGAUGUGUGCAAGUGCCUACUUAGUAUCUACUUAGUUAUACCUAGAGAGGAAAUUCUCAAACAAAUAGACAAACCACAGAUGUUCCUGAAAUAUAUAAAUUACAAUUAGAGAUGAAAUGAUGUGUUGUUCUAACAAACAUUUGUUCCCAAACCUAAAUUGCCAGUGGGAGUCAUACAGAGGCUGAGAGGACGGUUGGUAGUAGGACUUAAAGGUAAGCAGGGAGAUGUAGGUCCUUUUCAGCUCACUGAUUUUCUUUCCUAUAGAAGAAACACCAACCCAUUUCUUUGACACCUAGACAAGAAAAACAAAGAAUUGCUUCUUGCGGUGGUGGUACAAACCCCACAACUGUCCUGAUUUGGCAAGUACAGUUUUCCAACAACUUUAAGUUUCCCCUGUUUCUCUCUCCUUCCAUUUUCUUGCACUGUCCUCAACUGCUGCAAACUGAGUUCAGAGUGCAAAAGUAUUUUCCACACAGUUAAUUCAUCAGAGAAACGAGGAAAGGGCAGAAUCUUGCCCAUCCAACUGAGUAGGCAAAAGCAAACUGCUGCAACUCCUCCUAGCUUGUCUGUUCUUCCUCAUUAAUAACUUUUGUCAUGUUGACCAUAUUAUGAUUUUGUAUGGCCACACUUGUCCCAGUUUUCAUCUGUGAAAUAUUGAUAUGCCGGUAGGGUUCGAGAAAGCAUGAUGCUCAGUCCUACAUUUUGUUUCUCUCCUAUGAGAGUUCCUGCACAUGUGUAGCUAUGAGGCAAGAGAGCAGCUCAGAGGUAGACAACUUUGCCAGGUCUGAGGGCUUUAUUUCUGGUUACUUAAGAUGUCAGAUCUGGCCAUAGUAACACAUGCUUUCAUUAUAUCCUGGUUGGAUUACUGUAAUUCACCCUAAGUGGGACUGCCUAUGAGGAGUUUUCAAAAACUUCAACUGGUCCAAAGAAUCACGGUCAGAUUGUUAACUGCAGUUGACUCCUGGGUACAAUCAACUCCCAAAUUGGAGCAGCUCCAUUGGCUGCUGUUCCAUUUCUGGGAACAAUUCAAAGUACUUAUUAUGACCUGUAAAGCCUUAUAUGGCUCACGUCCAGAUUAUUUGAAGGACCAUCUUCACCCUUAUAAAGCAGCCUUUGAGAUCUAAUGAGGAGGCCCUUCUCUCUGUGCCGUUUGUUGAGAACACAAGAAAGGACCUUAUCAGUAGCUGUCCGAAGGCUAGAACUCCCUUCUAAGAGAAGAUGCAGACUGCAGCAUGCUUGCAUUUAGCUCCCCUGUUCCAUUUCUGGCUGUGCAGAAUAAAACCACUCUGCUUCUUGGCAUCACUUUUUAAUUCACCAGGAAAGCACUGGGAGCAAGUGCACCAACAAAACAUAUGAUUUGGCCAUUAUGAGAUGCUCUCUGUCCAUGGUUCCACUUCAUCAGCAAGAAGACCCUAAAGUUAAUUGGCUUCUUGAAACAUCUUGGUUUGUUUGAGUUAAUCCAAUAAUUAUAUAAUGUUGUGCGACAAAAGUAGAAAAUUGUGCUCUAUUGGCUGAGGCUCCAAGGAGGGUGGUGCUGAGGAAGAGCAAGGAAUGUAAAGAGAGACAGGAGAGAAAAUGUGGCUUGUUAGCCCUUCACAGUUUUCCACCCUCUUAAGCAAUCUAGAGAAUAGGUUGAACAUCUUCGUUAUAUUUAAAUUGAGAGAAUUAUAGUUUAUUCUAUCUUUUUGUUGUUGUUUAUUUAAUCAGUCGCUUCCGACUCUUUGUGACCUUGGAUUCAUAAAGGCCCACAUGUUGCAUGAUGUGUUCUGAAUAGGUAGGGUGAGAAUAUACAACCCUGUCAUACUCAAUGCGUUGUCGAAGGCUUUCAUGGCCAGGAUCACAGGGUUGUUGUAUGUCUUUCGGGCUGUGUGGCCAUGUUCCAGAAGUAUUCUCUCCUGACGUUUCGCCCACAUCUAUGGCAGGCAUCCUCAGAGGUUGUGAGGUAUGGAAAAACUAAGCAAAGAAUGUUUAUAUCUGUGGGAUGUCCAGGGUGAGAGAAUAACUCUUGUCAGUUUGACACCAUGCAGCUGUGGACAAGUAUACAUAGGGACCACCAAACGCAGCGCACAAACAAGAGUCAGAGAACAUGAAAGGCACUGAAGACUAAUUCAACCAGAGAAGUCAGCCAUAACAGACCACUUGAUGAACCAAUCUGGACACAGUAUAUUAUUUGAGAAGACAGAAAUGCUGGACCACUCUGACAAGCACCAUGUCAGACUACACAGAGAAGCCAUUGAAAUUCACAAACAUGUGGACAACUUCAACAGAAAGGAGGAAAUCAUGAAAAUGAACAAAAUCUGGCUAUCAGUAUUAAAAAAUUCAAAAAUCAGAACAGUAAAUAAGAAGCAACACUCUGAGACACGGGAACUAGGGGCAGUUAACAAAAAAUGCCCCCAGGCAGAAAGUAGCUAGUAGAUGUAGCCAUUCAAUGCAAAUUAGGGUGGUUAACUGGAACAUUUACGCUGGCCUCAAACUGACAAGAGUUCUUCUCUCACCCUGGACUUCCCACAGAUAUAUAUAAACAUUCCUUGCUUAGUUUUUCCAUACCUCACAACCUCUGAGGAUGCCUUCCAUAGAUGUGGGCGAAACGUCAGGAGAGAAUAUUUCUGGAACACACAGUCCGAAAGAUAUACAACAACCCUGUCAUACUCCUUUCCCAAUCUUGAACCAGUCUGUUGUUCUGUGGUCUGUUCUUACUGUUGCUGCUUGGUCGUUACACAGAUUCCUCAGGAGACAGAAAAGGUGACUUGGUAUCCCCAUACCACCAAGAAUUUGCCACAAUUUAUUAUGAUCCAUACAGUCAAAGGCUUUAGAAUAGUCAAUAAAAAAGAAAUAGAUGUUUUUCUGAAACUCCCUACCUUCCUCCAUUAUCCAGCAGAUAUUGGCAAAUUUGGUCUCUCGUUCCUCUGCCUAUUCUAAACCCAGCUGUACAUCUUUAUUCCAUCUUGGUCAUUGCAUAAAUCAUAGAAAAGGUCCUAAAUAGCCUAAAGGAUCAGAUCCCACUUGAUCUCAGAAGAUAUGAAGGAUCAG